CCUACGGGUGGCAGCAGUGAGGAAUAUUGGUCAAUGGACGAGAGUCUGAACCAGUCAAGUAGCGUGAAGGAUGACUGCCCUAUGGGUUGUAAACUUCUUUUAUAUGGGAAUAAAACGUUCCACGUGUGGGAUUUUGUAUGUACCAUAUGAAUAAGGAUCGGCUAACUCCGUGCCAGCAGCCGCGGUAAUACGGAGGAUCCGAGCGUUAUCCGGAUUUAUUGGGUUUAAAGGGAGCGUAGGUGGAUUGUUAAGUCAGUUGUGAAAGUUUGCGGCUCAACCGUAAAAUUGCAGUUGAGACUGGCAGUCUUGAGUACAGUAGAGGUGGGCGGAAUUCGUGGUGUAGCGGUGAAAUGCUUAGAUAUCACGAAGAACUCCGAUUGCGAAGGCAGUUCACUGGACUGCAACUGACACUGAGGCUCGAAAGUGUGGGUAUCAAACAGGAUUAGAUACCCUUGUAGUC
rnacentral:rRNA from 1 species